UUUGUACCGGCGAGUCAGAACGACCAGCUCCUACUGAACUCCCCCAGGGCCGGAAGGCAGCAAGGGUAGGUGGUUGAGCGGUGCGAUUUUGGCUCGCUUUUUU
rfam:Hymenobacter sp. PAMC 26554, complete genome.